rnacentral:rRNA from 1 species
UUGUCAUGCCAAUGGCACUGCCCGGUAGCUAAAUGCGGAAGAGAUAAGUGCUGAAAGCAUCUAAGCACGAAACUUGCCCCGAGAUGAGUUCUCCCUGACUCCYUGAGAGUCCUGAAGGAACGUUGAAGACGACGACGUUGAUAGGCCGGGUGUGUAAGCGCAGCGAUGCGUUGAGCUAACCGGUACUAAUGAACCGUGAGGCUUAACCUUACAACGCCGAAGRUGUU